CUUAGCCGAUAAUGGAGGAUACUGAAUAGUUAAGGAUUUCCUGAACUAUGAUUUAUGGAAGGAUGGACUCUGGUUUAUGAAAAGUUGAUUAUCAAAGUUUGAUUUGGAAUUAUUCUAUCAUUGAUAUUGAUUGUGUUUAUGUUCUGUUGUUAUACGUUGACCUGUUAUUGAAUUAUAGAAUUGGAUUAUUGUUUUUAUAUAAACCUGUGGACCAGAUUCGUGGUCAUGUUAGGCCAAUGAGUGCCUUGGAUCCAGUGAUAGAGCAUGGCGGGGCCA
rnacentral:lncRNA from 1 species